rnacentral:rRNA from 1 species
AGGAUGAACGCUGGCGGCGUGCUUAACACAUGCAAGUCGAACGGUGAAAGAGGAGCUUGCUCCUCUGGAUCAGUGGCGAACGGGUGAGUAACACGUGAGUAACCUGCCCUUGACUCUGGGAUAAGCGUUGGAAACGACGUCUAAUACCGGAUACGAGCUUCAGCCGCAUGGCUAGGAGCUGGAAAGAACUUCGGUCAAGGAUGGACUCGCGGCCUAUCAGGUAGUUGGUGAGGUAACGGCCCACCAAGCCUACGACGGGUAGCCGGCCUGAGAGGGUGACCGGCCACACUGGGACUGAGACACGGCCCAGACUCCUACGGGAGGCAGCAGUGGGGAAUAUUGCACAAUGGGCGCAAGCCUGAUGCAGCAACGCCGCGUGAGGGACGACGGCCUUCGGGUUGUAAACCUCUUUAGUAGGGAAGAAGCGAAAGUGACGGUACCUGCAGAAAAAGCACCGGCUAACUACGUGCCAGCAGCCGCGGU